rnacentral:pre_miRNA from 17 species
CUUGUUGCGGGUGCAGCGUCAUCAAGAUUCACGUGUGCCGCACGGCACACGUAUCGGUUUUCAAGUGUAGUCAUCGUGCGUGAAUCUUGAUGAUGCUGCACCAGCAAAGAG